rnacentral:misc_RNA from 1 species
UCAAACUUGGUCAUUUAGAGGAAGUAAAAGUCGUAACAAGGUUUCCGUAGGUGAACCUGCGGAAGGAUCAUUACCGAGAAACUUGCCCCCAGGGGUAGAUCUCCCACCCUAUGUUUACACACUUUGUUGCUUUGGCAGGCCUGCUUCCUGUGCUACUGGCUUUGGCUAGUUAGUGCCUGCCAAAGAACCUACAUCCUCAGUCAUUUAUUGUCAGUGAAAUAUUACAAUAGUUUAAAACUUUCAACAACGGAUCUCUUGGUUCUGGCAUCGAUGAAGAACGCAGC